AGCGGAGGGAUCAUUACCGAGUUAUUAAAACUCCAAACCCUUUGUGAACCUUACUGUCGUUGCCUCGGCGUGAGCUACGGCUACCCUGUAGUUACCCUAUAGCUACCCUGCAGCUACCCUAUAGUUGACCAGUAGCUACCCUGUAGUUACCCUAUAGCUACCCUGCAGCUACCCUAUAGUUGACAUGUAGCUACCCUGUAGCCGGCUUAUGGCCCGCCGAAGGACCGCUAAACUCUUGUUUUUUUACCACUGUUUCUCUGAAUUGUAAACUUAAAUAAGUUAAAACUUUCAACAACGGAUCUCUUGGUUCUGGCAUCGAUGAAGAACGCAGCGAAAUGCGAUAAGUAAUGUGAAUUGCAGAAUUCAGUGAAUCAUCGAAUCUUUGAACGCACAUUGCGCCCAUUAGUAUUCUAGUGGGCAUGCCUAUUCGAGCGUCAUUUCGACCCUUAAGCCCCUGUUGCUUAGCGUUGGGAAUCUACAGCGUAGUUCCUUAAAGUUAGUGGCGGAGUUAGGGUACACUCUCAGCGUAGUAAUCUUUCUCGCUCGUGUGGUGGCCCUGGCUGCUAGCCGUUAAACCCCUAUAUUUUCUAGUGGUUGACCUCGGAUUAGGUAGGAAUACCCGCUGAACUUAAGCAU
rnacentral:rRNA from 1 species